AGCCUGAAGUCAGACAAGUGA
rnacentral:rRNA from 2 species